ensembl:lncRNA
GCCUAGUUCACCUUUCGGUUCCUCUUGCUGCCCUUUCCCGCGGCCUUUUUCACUGGUUUCUUCUGGCUUUCUCCUCCUGGUUCCUCCCUCGAGGCUCUUCCUCCUGCCUCUUCUCUCCCCUCCGGGCAGCCCCCUUCUCCUACAACUCCUCUCAAGCCCCGCCCCUGGCUGGCCCUCUGUCCCUCCCCUGGCUGAUACGGUCAGAACCUCGGGCCUGGUUGAGUCUGGCAGCGCAGCUGCUCUGCGGCCUUUGGGGCAGAAGCCCCCUCCUGGGACCUCCUCUCCUUCCUAUGCGUCAGUUUCCGGCCACAGAUGCCUUGCCUUGUCCACUAGAGACUUCCUGAACUUCGGAUACUGCUUACCUGCCAGUCUGUCUCAGAGGAGGAGAGCAAGCUUCGGGGAACUCUGCCUGCAGAGAUGGACAAGCUCUGGAUCUGAAGGCAUUCCCUAAAGCAACACCAGCCCCUUGUUUUCUGCCGACCUGGCCUAUUUGGAGCAAAUUACUUACUGUUCUGUCUGUCCAGCUUGGAACUGAGAAGUCCAAAGGGAUGGAGAGAGACAGACAGGAAGGAUCCGUGUCAGGAGGCAGGCAAUUUAGAUGAACUCUUUUGCCUUGUUCUCUCUACCCUCACCCCCAUCCUAGCCCCAACAGAUAGCUAGCAGAGCCCUAGGUCCCUGCCCACUACCCCUAUUAAUGGAAGCCUAAUGUACUUGGGCAAAUCUCCCAGCUCUCCAAGUCAAUUUCCCUUAUGUAGACUAGAGAUAAAAUAUAAAACUGUCAUAAGACAAAUUGAGAGUAACAUGGAAGCAUAUACAUUACCAUAUGUAAAC